AGCGUACACGGUGGAUGCCCUGGCAGUCAGAGGCGAUGAAGGACGUGCUAAUCUGCGAUAAGCGUCGGUAAGGUGAUAUGAACCGUUAUAACCGGCGAUUUCCGAAUGGGGAAACCCAGUGUGAUUCGUCACACUAUCAUUAACUGAAUCCAUAGGUUAAUGAGGCGAACCGGGGGAACUGAAACAUCUAAGUACCCCGAGGAAAAGAAAUCAACCGAGAUUCCCCCAGUAGCGGCGAGCGAACGGGGAGCAGCCCAGAGCCUGAAUCAGUGUGUGUGUUAGUGGAAGCGUCUGGAAAGGCGUGCGAUACAGGGUGACAGCCCCGUACACAAAAAUGCACAUGCUGUGAGCUCGAUGAGUAGGGCGGGACACGUGGUAUCCUGUCUGAAUAUGGGGGGACCAUCCUCCAAGGCUAAAUACUCCUGACUGACCGAUAGUGAACCAGUACCGUGAGGGAAAGGCGAAAAGAACCCCGGCGAGGGGAGUGAAAAAGAACCUGAAACCGUGUACGUACAAGCAGUGGGAGCACGCUUAGGCGUGUGACUGCGUACCUUUUGUAUAAUGGGUCAGCGACUUAUAUUCUGUAGCAAGGUUAACCGAAUAGGGGAGCCGAAGGGAAACCGAGUCUUAACUGGGCGUUAAGUUGCAGGGUAUAGACCCGAAACCCGGUGAUCUAGCCAUGGGCAGGUUGAAGGUUGGGUAACACUAACUGGAGGACCGAACCGACUAAUGUUGAAAAAUUAGCGGAUGACUUGUGGCUGGGGGUGAAAGGCCAAUCAAACCGGGAGAUAGCUGGUUCUCCCCGAAAGCUAUUUAGGUAGCGCCUCGUGAAUUCAUCUCCGGGGGUAGAGCACUGUUUCGGCAAGGGGGUCAUCCCGACUUACCAACCCGAUGCAAACUGCGAAUACCGGAGAAUGUUAUCACGGGAGACACACGGCGGGUGCUAACGUCCGUCGUGAAGAGGGAAACAACCCAGACCGCCAGCUAAGGUCCCAAAGUCAUGGUUAAGUGGGAAACGAUGUGGGAAGGCCCAGACAGCCAGGAUGUUGGCUUAGAAGCAGCCAUCAUUUAAAGAAAGCGUAAUAGCUCACUGGUCGAGUCGGCCUGCGCGGAAGAUGUAACGGGGCUAAACCAUGCACCGAAGCUGCGGCAGCGACACUAUGUGUUGUUGGGUAGGGGAGCGUUCUGUAAGCCUGUGAAGGUGUGCUGUGAGGCAUGCUGGAGGUAUCAGAAGUGCGAAUGCUGACAUAAGUAACGAUAAAGCGGGUGAAAAGCCCGCUCGCCGGAAGACCAAGGGUUCCUGUCCAACGUUAAUCGGGGCAGGGUGAGUCGACCCCUAAGGCGAGGCCGAAAGGCGUAGUCGAUGGGAAACAGGUUAAUAUUCCUGUACUUGGUGUUACUGCGAAGGGGGGACGGAGAAGGCUAUGUUGGCCGGGCGACGGUUGUCCCGGUUUAAGCGUGUAGGCUGGUUUUCCAGGCAAAUCCGGAAAAUCAAGGCUGAGGCGUGAUGACGAGGCACUACGGUGCUGAAGCAACAAAUGCCCUGCUUCCAGGAAAAGCCUCUAAGCAUCAGGUAACAUCAAAUCGUACCCCAAACCGACACAGGUGGUCAGGUAGAGAAUACCAAGGCGCUUGAGAGAACUCGGGUGAAGGAACUAGGCAAAAUGGUGCCGUAACUUCGGGAGAAGGCACGCUGAUAUGUAGGUGAAGUCCCUCGCGGAUGGAGCUGAAAUCAGUCGAAGAUACCAGCUGGCUGCAACUGUUUAUUAAAAACACAGCACUGUGCAAACACGAAAGUGGACGUAUACGGUGUGACGCCUGCCCGGUGCCGGAAGGUUAAUUGAUGGGGUCAGCGCAAGCGAAGCUCUUGAUCGAAGCCCCGGUAAACGGCGGCCGUAACUAUAACGGUCCUAAGGUAGCGAAAUUCCUUGUCGGGUAAGUUCCGACCUGCACGAAUGGCGUAAUGAUGGCCAGGCUGUCUCCACCCGAGACUCAGUGAAAUUGAACUCGCUGUGAAGAUGCAGUGUACCCGCGGCAAGACGGAAAGACCCCGUGAACCUUUACUAUAGCUUGACACUGAACAUUGAGCCUUGAUGUGUAGGAUAGGUGGGAGGCUUUGAAGUGUGGACGCCAGUCUGCAUGGAGCCGACCUUGAAAUACCACCCUUUAAUGUUUGAUGUUCUAACGUUGACCCGUGAUCCGGGUUGCGGACAGUGUCUGGUGGGUAGUUUGACUGGGGCGGUCUCCUCCUAAAGAGUAACGGAGGAGCACGAAGGUUGGCUAAUCCUGGUCGGACAUCAGGAGGUUAGUGCAAUGGCAUAAGCCAGCUUGACUGCGAGCGUGACGGCGCGAGCAGGUGCGAAAGCAGGUCAUAGUGAUCCGGUGGUUCUGAAUGGAAGGGCCAUCGCUCAACGGAUAAAAGGUACUCCGGGGAUAACAGGCUGAUACCGCCCAAGAGUUCAUAUCGACGGCGGUGUUUGGCACCUCGAUGUCGGCUCAUCACAUCCUGGGGCUGAAGUAGGUCCCAAGGGUAUGGCUGUUCGCCAUUUAAAGUGGUACGCGAGCUGGGUUUAGAACGUCGUGAGACAGUUCGGUCCCUAUCUGCCGUGGGCGCUGGAGAACUGAGGGGGGCUGCUCCUAGUACGAGAGGACCGGAGUGGACGCAUCACUGGUGUUCGGGUUGUCAUGCCAAUGGCACUGCCCGGUAGCUAAAUGCGGAAGAGAUAAGUGCUGAAAGCAUCUAAGCACGAAACUUGCCCCGAGAUGAGUUCUCCCUGACUCCUUGA
rnacentral:rRNA from 1 species